GAUGAACGCUGGCGGCGUGCUUAACACAUGCAAAGUCGAGCGGAGUUUGUUUGCAGCUUGCUGCAAACAUUCUUAGCGGCGGACGGGUGAGUAACGCGUGGGUAACCUGCCUUAUACUGGGGGAUAACAUAGUGAAAACUAUGCUAAUACCGCAUAAGACCACGGGGUCACAUGACUCUGAGGUAAAAACUCCGGUGGUAUAAGAUGGACCCGCGUCUGAUUAGCUAGUAGGUGAGGUAAUGGCUCACCUAGGCGACGAUCAGUAGCCGACCUGAGAGGGUGAUCGGCCACAUUGGGACUGGAGACACGGCCCAAAUCCUACGGGAGGCUGG
rnacentral:rRNA from 1 species